ACGAACGCUGGCGGCGUGCUUAACACAUGCCAGUCGAACGGAAAGGCCCUGCUUUUGUGGGGUGCUCGAGUGGCGAACGGGUGAGUAACACGUGAGUAACCUGCCCUUGACUUUGGGAUAACUUCAGGAAACUGGGGCUAAUGCCGGAUAGGAGCUCCUGCUGCAUGGUGGGGGUUGGAAAGUUUCGGCGGUUGGGGAUGGACUCGCGGCUUAUCAGCUUGUUGGUGGGGUAGUGGCUUACCAAGGCUUUGACGGGUAGCCGGCCUGAGAGGGUGACCGGCCACAUUGGGACUGAGAUACGGCCCAGACUCCUACGGGAGGCAGCAGUGGGGAAUAUUGCACAAUGGGCGGAAGCCUGAUGCAGCAACGCCGCGUGCGGGAUGACGGCCUUCGGGUUGUAAACCGCUUUCGCCUGUGACGAAGCGUGAGUGACGGUAAUGGGUAAAGAAGCACCGGCUAACUACGUG
rnacentral:rRNA from 1 species